UUGCUUGCGCAUACCCAUGCGUCUUGUACUCUACAACGGCAGGGGAACAUGUUGCCUUCUUUAGUGAACAAGAUGGUACGCCAUGCAUGAAUGGCUAUUGUCUCAGUGGAUUGUGUGUGGCAGAAGAGAACCAUCAUCACGCUUUGAAGCGCAAAAAGCGGUCACUAAAACAAUUCCUUAUUGGACUGUUUCUAGGAAGACAGUGGGGAUUGUGGCAAGGUAGACGCCGUAGUUUCUCGGAAAGAAGGUCGACGUUGAAUUAGCCGAUCACACAAGUGGCUGAAAGCGCGCACGUUGUUAAAGGCUUCUGAAUGGCGCAAUAAGUACUAUGAACCCUCGAAUUUCAGCCACAGCUUUCCUGAUGGUUCAGCUCACGGAUGUGUUCAUGUUUGACCUAUACUUUCCCAUAAUCACAAUAUCCCCCGAAAAUAAACUUCCCUAUGUACCGAUGUGUAA
rnacentral:lncRNA from 1 species